AGCGAACGCUGGCGGCAGGCUUAACACAUGCAAGUCGAACGCCCCGCAAGGGGAGUGGCAGACGGGUGAGUAACACGUGGGAACGUACCCAUUGGUUCGGAAUAACUUGGGGAAACUCAAGCUAAUACCGGAUAAGCCCUUAUGGGGAAAGGUUUACUGCUGAAGGAUCGGCCCGCGUCUGAUUAGCUAGUUGGUGAGGUAAUGGCUCACCAAGGCGACGAUCAGUAGCUGGUCUGAGAGGAUGAUCAGCCACACUGGGACUGAGACACGGCCCAGACUCCUACGGGAGGCAGCAGUGGGGAAUAUUGGACAAUGGGGGCAACCCUGAUCCAGCCAUGCCGCGUGAGUGAUGAAGGCCUUAGGGUUGUAAGGCUCUUUUACCCGGGACGAUAAUGACUGUACCGGGAGAAUAAGCCCCGGCUAACUUCGUGCCAGCCGCCGCCGUAA
rnacentral:rRNA from 1 species